GAACGCACAUUGCGCCCUCUGGUAUUCCGGAGGGCAUGCCUGUUCGAGCGUCAUUAUCACCCCUCAAGCCCGGCUUGUUGUUGGUCGCAGCGGGAGGCUCGCCCCCCCGCUCUUCCCAAAGAUAAUGACGGCGUCUGUGAGGACUCCUGUACACUGAGCUUUCGGGCACGUACUAGGCUAGAAGUCCAGACCCGGUCACCGUCCCCUCACAGGGACACUUUUCUUUUUACAAGGUUGACCUCGGAUCAGGUAGGGAUACCCGCUGAACUUAAG
rnacentral:misc_RNA from 1 species